CACAAGCGGUGGAUGAUGUGGAUUAAUUCGAUGCAACGCGAAAACCUUACCUACCCUUGACAUGCCAGGAAUCUUGGUGAGAGCCGAGAGUGCCUUCGGGAGCCUGGACACAGGUGCUGCAUGGCUGUCGUCAGCUCGUGUCGUGAGAUGUUGGGUUAAGUCCCGCAACGAGCGCAACCCUUGUCACUAGUUGCCAGCAUUUAGUUGGGCACUCUAGUGAGACUGCCGGUGACAAACCGGAGGAAGGUGGGGAUGACGUCAAGUCCUCAUGGCCCUUAUGGGUAGGGCUUCACACGUCAUACAAUGGUCGGUACAGAGGGUUGCCAAACCGCGAGGUGGAGCCAAUCCCUAAAAGCCGAUCGUAGUCCGGAUCGUAGUCUGCAACUCGACUACGUGAAGUCGGAAUCGCUAGUAAUCGUGGAUCAGCCAAGCCGCGGUGAAUACGUUCCCGGGCCUU
rnacentral:rRNA from 1 species